UUAAGCGACUAAGCGUACACGGUGGAUGCCCUGGCAGUCAGAGGCGAUGAAGGACGUGCUAAUCUGCGAUAAGCGUCGGUGAGGUGAUAUGAACCGUUAUAACCGGCGAUUUCCGAAUGGGGAAACCCAGUGUGUUUCGACACACUAUCAUUAACUGAAUCCAUAGGUUAAUGAGGCGAACCGGGGGAACUGAAACAUCUAAGUACCCCGAGGAAAAGAAAUCAACCGAGAUUCCCCCAGUAGCGGCGAGCGAACGGGGAGGAGCCCAGAGCCUGAAUCAGUGUGUGUGUUAGUGGAAGCGUCUGGAAAGGCGUGCGAUACAGGGUGACAGCCCCGUACACAAAAAUGCACAUAUUGUGAGCUCGAUGAGUAGGGCGGGACACGUGGUAUCCUGUCUGAAUAUGGGGGGACCAUCCUCCAAGGCUAAAUACUCCUGACUGACCGAUAGUGAACCAGUACCGUGAGGGAAAGGCGAAAAGAACCCCGGCGAGGGGAGUGAAAAAGAACCUGAAACCGUGUACGUACAAGCAGUGGGAGCCUCUUAAUGGGGUGACUGCGUACCUUUUGUAUAAUGGGUCAGCGACUUAUAUUCUGUAGCAAGGUUAACCGAAUAGGGGAGCCGAAGGGAAACCGAGUCUUAACUGGGCGUUAAGUUGCAGGGUAUAGACCCGAAACCCGGUGAUCUAGCCAUGGGCAGGUUGAAGGUUGGGUAACACUAACUGGAGGACCGAACCGACUAAUGUUGAAAAAUUAGCGGAUGACUUGUGGCUGGGGGUGAAAGGCCAAUCAAACCGGGAGAUAGCUGGUUCUCCCCGAAAGCUAUUUAGGUAGCGCCUCGUGAAUUCAUCUCCGGGGGUAGAGCACUGUUUCGGCAAGGGGGUCAUCCCGACUUACCAACCCGAUGCAAACUGCGAAUACCGGAGAAUGUUAUCACGGGAGACACACGGCGGGUGCUAACGUCCGUCGUGAAGAGGGAAACAACCCAGACCGCCAGCUAAGGUCCCAAAGUCAUGGUUAAGUGGGAAACGAUGUGGGAAGGCCCAGACAGCCAGGAUGUUGGCUUAGAAGCAGCCAUCAUUUAAAGAAAGCGUAAUAGCUCACUGGUCGAGUCGGCCUGCGCGGAAGAUGUAACGGGGCUAAACCAUGCACCGAAGCUGCGGCAGCGACACUAUGUGUUGUUGGGUAGGGGAGCGUUCUGUAAGCCUGUGAAGGUGGCCUGUGAGGGUUGCUGGAGGUAUCAGAAGUGCGAAUGCUGACAUAAGUAACGAUAAAGCGGGUGAAAAGCCCGCUCGCCGGAAGACCAAGGGUUCCUGUCCAACGUUAAUCGGGGCAGGGUGAGUCGACCCCUAAGGCGAGGCCGAAAGGCGUAGUCGAUGGGAAACAGGUUAAUAUUCCUGUACUUGGUGUUACUGCGAAGGGGGGACGGAGAAGGCUAUGUUGGCCGGGCGACGGUUGUCCCGGUUUAAGCGUGUAGGCUGGUUUUCCAGGCAAAUCCGGAAAACCAAGGCUGAGGCGUGAUGACGAGGCACUACGGUGCCGAAGUGACAAAUGCCCUGCUUCCAGGAAAAGCCUCUAAGCAUCAGGUAACAUCAAAUCGUACCCCAAACCGACACAGGUGGUCAGGUAGAGAAUACCAAGGCGCUUGAGAGAACUCGGGUGAAGGAACUAGGCAAAAUGGUGCCGUAACUUCGGGAGAAGGCACGCUGAUAUGUAGGUGAAGCGACUUGCUCGUGGAGCUGAAAUCAGUCGAAGAUACCAGCUGGCUGCAACUGUUUAUUAAAAACACAGCACUGUGCAAACACGAAAGUGGACGUAUACGGUGUGACGCCUGCCCGGUGCCGGAAGGUUAAUUGAUGGGGUUAGCGGUAACGCGAAGCUCUUGAUCGAAGCCCCGGUAAACGGCGGCCGUAACUAUAACGGUCCUAAGGUAGCGAAAUUCCUUGUCGGGUAAGUUCCGACCUGCACGAAUGGCGUAAUGAUGGCCAGGCUGUCUCCACCCGAGACUCAGUGAAAUUGAACUCGCUGUGAAGAUGCAGUGUACCCGCGGCAAGACGGAAAGACCCCGUGAACCUUUACUAUAGCUUGACACUGAACAUUGAGCCUUGAUGUGUAGGAUAGGUGGGAGGCUUUGAAGUGUGGACGCCAGUCUGCAUGGAGCCGACCUUGAAAUACCACCCUUUAAUGUUUGAUGUUCUAACGUUGGCCCGUAAUCCGGGUUGCGGACAGUGUCUGGUGGGUAGUUUGACUGGGGCGGUCUCCUCCUAAAGAGUAACGGAGGAGCACGAAGGUUGGCUAAUCCUGGUCGGACAUCAGGAGGUUAGUGCAAUGGCAUAAGCCAGCUUGACUGCGAGCGUGACGGCGCGAGCAGGUGCGAAAGCAGGUCAUAGUGAUCCGGUGGUUCUGAAUGGAAGGGCCAUCGCUCAACGGAUAAAAGGUACUCCGGGGAUAACAGGCUGAUACCGCCCAAGAGUUCAUAUCGACGGCGGUGUUUGGCACCUCGAUGUCGGCUCAUCACAUCCUGGGGCUGAAGUAGGUCCCAAGGGUAUGGCUGUUCGCCAUUUAAAGUGGUACGCGAGCUGGGUUUAGAACGUCGUGAGACAGUUCGGUCCCUAUCUGCCGUGGGCGCUGGAGAACUGAGGGGGGCUGCUCCUAGUACGAGAGGACCGGAGUGGACGCAUCACUGGUGUUCGGGUUGUCAUGCCAAUGGCACUGCCCGGUAGCUAAAUGCGGAAGAGAUAAGUGCUGAAAGCAUCUAAGCACGAAACUUGCCCCGAGAUGAGUUCUCCCUGACUCCUUGAGGGUCCUGAAGGAACGUUGAAGACGACGACGUUGAUAGGCCGGGUGUGUAAGCGCAGCGAUGCGUUGAGCUAACCGGUACUAAUGAACCGUGAGGCUUAACCUU
rnacentral:rRNA from 4 species